UACGUAGGGGGCAAGCGUUGUCCGGAAUUAUUGGGCGUAAAGCGCGUGUAGGCGGCUCGGUAAGUCUGCUGUGAAAGUCCAGGGCUCAACCCUGGAAUGCCGGUGGAUACUGUCGAGCUCGAGUCCGGAAGAGGCGAGUGGAAUUCCUGGUGUAGCGGUGGAAUGCGCAGAUAUCAGGAGGAACACCAAUAGCGAAGGCAGCUCGCUGGGACGUUACUGACACUGAGGCGCGAAAGCGUGGGGAGCGAACAGG
rnacentral:rRNA from 1 species